UUUAUAUGAAAAAAUAAAGUAUGUGAUAUACGCUCGUUAAAUAUAUAGUUUUAUUGAUAGUAGGAAGCAACAUGGAGACUUCCACAAGUGUAUAAUAUUAUUAGGAGUUUAACAGAAGAAAAUGAGCACAAGAUACAAUGUAACUAUACGUAGUUCAAAAACAUAUUUAGUAAAUUUUGAAUAAUGAAAAUAAGAAGCAUUUCAAUAUUUGAACAAUAACUGAACUAGAUAAAGAAGGCCGAGGGUACUAAAAAGUGGGAAAACACUCAGAGGAGAAAAAUAUGACAGGAGAUGAAGAUUCUACCGGACAGAUGUUGCCGCCGCGGCUUGCGGAGUCAAUCGCCCAGUGACCGUGAAAUAAAAAAGAGACACCAAAACUCGCAAAAAAUUAGAUAAACAAAAUUAAUGACUUCUCAAAAUGCGCAAGUCUUAUAACCUUAACACAGAAGUAAAAUACACAAUUCCAACUCCUUAGAAGUCGGUACGCAUUAACCUUAUUUGUAAUAUUUUCUCGGGAAUCGCAAAUUUGCCGCAAUUCACGGUGCCUCAUGAAUUAUGGACGAGAUAUUUAUUGUGAUAGCUUUCUGGCCAUCAAACAUAUUUAACCCUAAUAAUGCAAUGGAAAUAUGUGGCGAAAAUGGCGUUGUGAUUGUGUAAGGACAUUGCUUGUUGGACUUCGGGUGAAAUAUCAGUUGGUUGUAAGAUUGUAAUGCUGCUCAAAUAUCUGACGAUACUGCAGACAGAGAAUGUCGUGUUGCGAAGAGAGCCCACAUGGGUUAACCAUAGUACCGCUAGAAUGAUGAUGAUCGUAGGGAUUGCCUUGGUUGGCACAAGACUGCAAGAAAUGGUGUCGUCAUCUUGUGGCCAAGGCCGUGAUCCACAUUAGGUCGCCGUGCUGCAGUAAUAAGUACGAUAUAAUUAUUUUCAACAGUUUAAUGUGUAUGAGGAUAAUUACACAAUCACGAAAAUUUAUCAAACUGAUUUCAAUGAAAAUUGGUACACGGACAGAAUAUAACUUGGAAUAGCGCCUUGGGUAAAUUAUCCCG